GUGCGCUGUAGCAUAGCGGUAAUGCGGGGAACGCAAUUCCCAGAGCCAGGUUCGAAUCCUGGUAGCGUACU
rnacentral:tRNA from 1 species